rnacentral:rRNA from 1 species
UACGUAGGGUGCAAGCGUUGUCCGGAAUUAUUGGGCGUAAAGAGCUCGUAGGCGGUCUGUCGCGUCGAAUGUGAAAACCCGGGGCUCAACCCCGGGCCUGCAUUCGAUACGGGCAGACUAGAGUUCGGUAGGGGAGUCUGGAAUUCCUGGUGUAGCGGUGAAAUGCGCAGAUAUCAGGAGGAACACCGGUGGCGAAGGCGGGAAUCUGGGCCGAUACUGACGCUGAGGAGCGAAAGCGUGGGGAGCGAACAGG